rnacentral:rRNA from 1 species
UUCGGCCUACGGGAGGCAGCAGUGGGGAAUAUUGCACAAUGGGCGAAAGCCUGAUGCAGCAACGCCGCGUGAAGGAAGAAGGGUUUCGGCUCGUAAACUUCUAUCAACAGGGACGAAAGAAAUGACGGUACCUGAAUAAGAAGCCCCGGCUAACUACGUGCCAGCAGCCGCGGCAAUACGUAGGGGGCAAGCGUUAUCCGGAUUUACUGGGUGUAAAGGGAGCGUAGACGGCAUAGCAAGUCUGAAGUGAAAGCCCGUGGCUCAACCGCGGAACUGCUUUGGAAACUGUUAAGCUGGAGUACUGG